CAGUUUAAUAAAGCGCCAGAACUAGUAAAGGUCCCAUUUCACUCAAGGACUGGAGAGUUUAUCAGUCAGAAUGUUUCUGUGCUUGUAUAUUCCUUUGUCAAACAGGGUAUGCACGUAUCUUGAUGAAGAAAGAUUCAUGAAUGAUAAACUAAUGGGAACCGUAAUACUAGUUGACGAGGAGAAGGUUUAUCGAGUUUUUCGGCGGAUACCUUCCGACUUUGCGCAUAGUCGAGAUUUCUCUCUAAAACAAAGAGGUGACUUUUUGGACAAAGGAGAGAAAAAUGCGCCAU
rnacentral:ncRNA from 2 species